ACAUCCCGCAAGGGGUGUGGCGGACGGCUGAGUAACACGUGGUCAACCUAACCUAAGGAGGGGGAUAACCCCGGGAAACUGGGGAUAAUCCCCCAUAGUUGAGGAGUCCUGGAACGGUUCCUCGGCGAAAGCCCGCAAGGGCGCCUUAGGAUGGGACUGCGGUCCAUCAGGUUGUUGGGGGGUUAAAGGCCCUCCAAGCCGAUAACGGAUAGGGGCCCUGGGAGGGGGAGCCCCCAGAUGGGCACUGAGACAAUGGCCCAGGUCCUACGGGGCGCACCAGGCGCGCAACGUCUUCAAUGCACGCAAGUGUGAAAGCGCUACCCCGAGUGCCUCUUUGAGGCUUUUCUACGCUCUAAAAAGACGUAGGAAUAAGCGGAGGGCAAGACUGGUGUCAGCCGCCGCGGUAAUACCAGCUCCGCGAGUGAUCGGGACUCUUAUUGGGCCUAAAGCGCCCGUAGCCGGCUCUAUAAGUCACUGCUUAAAGACCCGGGCUCAACCCGGGGAAGGGUAGUGAUACUAUAGAGCUAGGGGGCGGGAGAGGUCGGGGGUACUCCUAGAGUAGGGGCGAAAUCCGUAGAUCCUGGGAGGACCACCAGUGGCGGA
rnacentral:rRNA from 1 species